rnacentral:tRNA from 1 species
GGGGAGAUACCCAAGUGGCCAACGGGGGCAGACUGUAAAUCUGCUGCUUCACAGCUUCGUAGGUUCGAAUCCUGCUCUCCCCACCA